ACGACAGGUGAUAUCAAGUGCUAGGAUUAAAGAUAAGUUUUAUUAGGGUACACAAUUUACUGGGGAUGUGAAGACCAUACAGAACCAUCUUGGGCAUUAGGGACAAGCCUAUGUUGUGACAGAGAGAAGCAUAAAUUUCCAGAGGACCUAAGGCUAAAUCUCCCAGCAAGAUGGCCUUCUGACUGCGUGAGGAAUGAGGUUUCAGAAGUCAGA